UACGAAGGGGGCUAGCGUUGCUCGGAAUCACUGGGCGUAAAGGGUGCGUAGGCGGGUCUUUAAGUCAGGGGUGAAAUCCUGGAGCUCAACUCCAGAACUGCCUUUGAUACUGAGGAUCUUGAGUACGGGAGAGGUGAGUGGAACUGCGAGUGUAGAGGUGAAAUUCGUAGAUAUUCGCAAGAACACCAGUGGCGAAGGCGGCUCACUGGCCCGAUACUGACGCUGAGGCGCGAAAGCGUGGGGAGCAAACAGG
rnacentral:rRNA from 1 species